GGGAGUGACGAGAAAAACGCUGUGCACCAGUCUGAAGGCUCCAAAGUACUCAGGAAGCCGUGAAGCAUCAAGUAUACCCAAAUUUCUGACC
rnacentral:snoRNA from 1 species